rnacentral:snRNA from 1 species
AGGGUGGGGCUUGUUCAUUGCACUCUGGGUAUGCUGCCCCCUGCAGGGUCCCCAAAUGGGGGAGGUACUA